ACACUGAAGGCUCAUUUUCCCAUUAACACACAAAUCUAUGCUACCAUAUCACUAGAUAAUUAUACCUGAAUGAGCAGUGACAAAAAUAGAUGUAACAAACCUAAUUAAAUUUUGACAAGAAAAAAUAAACUAGAAAGAUUUUUAAGUGGAAACAAACAUCCUUCGUAAUGGAUCAUGCUUCCUGCUUUGGGUACACCUUGUUUAUGAUCGAUGGAUGAAUUAAUAUUUUAUACCUUUUAUUAUGUGUGUGCCAUUGUGAUGUAUACAAG